rnacentral:rRNA from 2 species
UUUUUGGCAGCUGUAAGGAGUCUUCACACAUUGGGACAAAAUGUGUGAAGGAGACAACCGCCGGAUGAGUGAAGAAGGGUUUUCGGCUCGUAAAACUCUGUUGUUAAAGAAGAACAUAUCUGAGAGUAACUGUUCAGGUAUUGACGGUAUUUAACCAGAAAGCCACGGAAACUACGUGCCAGCAGCCGCGGUAAUAAGUAGGUGGCGAGCGUCGUCCGGAUUUAUUGGGCGUAAAGCGAGCGCGGGCGGUUUUUUAAGUAUGAUGUGAAAGCCUUGGGCUCAACCGAAGAAGUGCAUCGGAAACUGGGAAACUUGAGUGCAGAAGAGGACAGUGGAACUCCAUGUGUAGCGGUGAAGUGCGUAGAUAUAUGGAAGAACACCAGUGGCGAGGGCGGCUGUGUGGUCUGUAACUGACGGUGAGGCUCGAACGUAUGGGUAGCAAACAGGAUUAGAUACCCUGGUUGUCCACACCGUAAACGAUGAAUGAUAAGUGUGGGAGGGUUUCCGCCCUUCAGUGGCGCAGCUAACGCAUUAAGCAUUCCGCCUGGGGAGUACGGCCGCAAGGCUGAAACUCAAAGGAAUUGACGGGGGCCCGCACCAGCGGUGGAGCAUGUGGUUUAAUUUGAAGAUACGCGAAGAACCUUACCAGGUCGUGACAUAUUAUUCACAUCUGAGAGCUUAGACGUUCCCUUCGGGGACAAGGAUACAGGUGGUACAUGGUGUGUAAGCCUGGGUUCCUA